GGACAGAUGGGAGCUUGCUCCCUGAUGUUAGCGGCGGACGGGUGAGUAACACGUGGGUAACCUGCCUGUAAGACUGGGAUAACUCCGGGAAACCGGGGCUAAUACCGGAUGCUUGUUUGAACCGCAUGGUUCAAACAUAAAAGGUGGCUUCGGCUACCACUUACAGAUGGACCCGCGGCGCAUUAGCUAGUUGGUGAGGUAAUGGCUCACCAAGGCAACGAUGCGUAGCCGACCUGAGAGGGUGAUCGGCCACACUGGGACUGAGACACGGCCCAGACUCCUACGGGAGGCAGCAGUAGGGAAUCUUCCGCAAUGGACGAAAGUCUGACGGAGCAACGCCGCGUGAGUGAUGAAGGUUUUCGGAUCGUAAAGCUCUGUUGUUAGGGAAGAACAAGUACCGUUCGAAUAGGGCGGUACCUUGACGGUACCUAACCAGAAAGCCACGGCUAACUACGUGCCAGCAGCCGCGGUAAUACGUAGGUGGCAAGCGUUGUCCGGAAUUAUUGGGCGUAAAGGGCUCGCAGGCGGUUCCUUAAGUCUGAUGUGAAAGCCCCCGGCUCAACCGGGGAGGGUCAUUGGAAACUGGGGAACUUGAGUGCAGAAGAGGAGAGUGGAAUUCCACGUGUAGCGGUGAAAUGCGUAGAGAUGUGGAGGAACACCAGUGGCGAAGGCGACUCUCUGGUCUGUAACUGACGCUGAGGAGCGAAAGCGUGGGGGAGCGAACAGGAUUAGAUACCCUGGUAGUCCACGCCGUAAACGAUGAGUGCUAAGUGUUAGGUGGUUUCCGCCCCUUAGUGCUG
rnacentral:rRNA from 1 species